AAAGAAACAAAUAUGUGUAUGAUCCCAUCGACAAGCAAGAAUAGCCAUGUUGGCAUGAGCGAGAAACACACUCCUGCAUUGAGGUUUGGAUUGCCAACCUCGUCGGCUGUCCUUAGGGCCAGAUGGACUAAGCGGGCUUUUGGGCUCAGCCCAAGCAAGAAUUAGUUUGGUGCCAGCUUGGGUCUUCUUAAGAGAGAUGAAGGCCGAGUCAAGUCAGCUUGUUUCACUUGUCCCUGCGACGUGCCAAGCCCAGUUUAACCCACGCUAGCCAAUCAGGUUUUAGCCCAAGUGCAGCCCAAUAUGGCAAGGCCCCAAAAC
rnacentral:lncRNA from 1 species